ACAACUUUCACCUAUUCUCAAACUUUAAAUUGGUAAGAACGCAGAGUUGCUUCAUUGAACUCUGUGCCGAAUGCGUGUUCCAUGUGGGCCAUUUUUGGUAAGCAGAACUGGCGACGAGGGUUCAACCUAAGGCAGGGUUGAGGCGACCAAUUGGCAGCUAAUGAGAUGAAAAGGUGUUAGUUCAUUUAGACAGUAGGACGGUGGCCAUGGAAGUCGGAACCCGCUAAGGAGUGUGUAACAACUCACCUACCGAAUGAACUAGCCCUGAAAAUGGAUGUCGCUAAGCAGCCAGCCGAUACCCUGCUGUCCAGCUUGAUGACAGUUGGACAGGUAGGAGGGCGUGGAGGCAGCGCAGAAGGCUCUGUGUGGACAGGGUUGGAGCUACCUCUAGUGCAGAUCUUGGUGGUAGUAGCAACUAUUCAAAUGAGAACUUUGAAGACUGAAGUGGAGAAGGGUUUCAUGAGAACAGCAAUUGGUCAUGAGUGACUCGGUCCUGAGGCCAGGGGUAAUCCCGCGACGACAUCGUCCAGGCCGAAAGGGAAUGUAGUUAAAAUUCUACAAGCAGGCGGUGGGUAUUGAGUGGCAACACAACUGAACUCAAAGACGUCGGGGCGAGGUCCUGGGGAGAGUUCUCUUUUCUUCUUAACAAAUCGCUGCCCUGGAGGUCUUUGCGACGAGAGAGGGCUAUCGGUUUGGAAGAGCAGCACACCCUUUGUGCUGUCCGGUGCACCUCCUUCGGCCCUUGAAAAUUUGAGGGAAAUCUUAUCGCUCGCCUGGCCGUACCCAUAACCGCAUCAGGUCUCCAAGGUUAGCAGCCUCUAGUACGUAGAACAAUGUAGAUAAGGGAAUUCGGCAAAUUAGAUCUGUAACUUUGGGAAAAAGAUUGGCUCUGAGGGCCAGGUCUUGGGCCUUUUGACCUCUUCAUAGCUUCGCAGGAAGGGGCGACCUGACCAGCGUUAGCGACUGUUGAGCCAGGAGUAACCCAGGACAGCGAAUGGCUAACUCAGAACUGGAGCAGCGAGGGGAAUCCGACUGUUUAAUUAAAACAAAGCAUUGUGAAGGCCUCAAAAGGUGUUGACACAAUGUGAUUUCUGCCCAGUGCUCUGAAUGUCAACGUGAAGAAAUUCAAUCAAGCGCGGGUAAACGGCGGGAGUAACUAUGACUCUCUU
rnacentral:rRNA from 1 species